ACUUGAUCUCCGCGUCUAAGCCGGGAGAAGCCCCAGGUGUCCCAGCCUUGGCCGCUCUGUGUCCCCUGACUGCAGGAGCCUAAGGACGACGCCGGGUGUCUCGGGAAAUGGCCGGGUUUUACAAAGGAAAGGCUAUCCUUGGAUACCACGGGACCCUCUUUGAGCAGGGUGCAGCAGCAGGCAUCUGUGACCUUUGAUGAUGUGUGUGUCAAGUUCACCCAGGAAGAGUGGGCUUUGCUGGAUCCUUCACAACAGAAGAUGUGCAGGGAUGUGAUGGUAGAAACCUUCAGGAACCUGGCCUCUGUUGCAAACAAAAUAACAGAGGAAGAUCAGACCAAUGAAGAGGUUUACAGAAACUCCAGAAGACAUCUAAGGUGCUGUACCACUUGGACCAUUCUGACAACCUGGAAAAAAAUUUGUCAAAAAGAAAAGGAUGUUGUGGGCUGGUAUACUUUCUCAAGUGAAGCAGUAUACUGCUAAUCCAGCCAGUGUGAGAGUUGCUUUUCAAGCGGUAUGCCUUGUGUUCAAACCUUGUCCUUAACCAAAACCAAAAGAAGUCUUUCUUUGUUGCUGUUGCACUACCAUAAGCCAAUAUGCUGGUGUAUCAUACUUGUAAUCAUAGAUACUUGUGAAGCAUAGAUCAGGAAGAUCAAAAUUUGAAACCAUGCUCUGGCAAAUAAUUCUUGAAACCCUAACUCAAAAAUCCCUAACACGUUAAAGGGCUAGCAAACUGGUACAGGUGCUAAAGUGCCUGUCCAGCCACUGUAAGUCCUUCAGUUCAAACACAAGUACUACACACAAAAAAACCCCAGGAAAUUACAAUCCAAAAUUUUCCAUUAUCAGAAGUGUGUAGUACCACCAUGAUGCCCCAAUGAUAAUCUGCAGUUUUUAUGUACAAAACCUUUCAUUCAAUAAAUUGUGAAAAAUAUGAUUAUAUGAACUUUCUUUCAGGGUGUGAAUAUAUGGUUCAUUUGCUGAAAAUGAAUUCUGUGUUUGGAUUGGUGCCUAUACUCUUCAAUAUAGCUUUUUAGGAUUAUGCAAAUACUUCAAAAUCUAAAUGAUUUUGCUCACAAGUUUUCCAUGUACGAUACUCAAAUACUUUUAAAAGUAGAUGGUCAGUGUUUGCAAAAUACUGGGAUGGAAACUUUAGAUACCCAUAACCAUGCCACUGCUUUGAUAAUAUAUUUCCUGGACCCAUCUUGCAUGUUCAAAAAUUCUUUUAGGCCAUGAAACCAUUACUUCUCCUGGUAUGUAUUUGAAAAUAUAUCUUAGUUUUGUGUUUCUCAUUAUUUCUAGAGGUCAAGUGGUAGGGAGAUUAUGUGAACACGAAGAUAUUCAGUGUGGAGAAGUCUUCAGCCAUACUCCAGAACAUAUAAGCAAUAAUACUACUGCUGGAGUGGGAAAAAAUGAACACUGUUUACAGAAGUCUUUAUCAGGCAUUCAUCCCUGAGUCUAUCCUUCAGAACUCAGAGUGGACCUGAGCCACAUGAGUAUCAGGAAAAUGGAAAAAAGCCACUUAAAAGGAAGGAUUCUGGGAAAACCUUUCCUGAUUCCACAUUUCUUAAAUGGCAUGAAAGAAGUCACCCUAGAGAGACAUCCUUUCUAUGUAAGAAAUGUGGAAAAGUCUCCUUUCAUUCUAGUGGCCUUUGCAAACAGGAACCAACUAGUGGUGGAGGAAAACCAUAUGUUUCUAAGCAAUGUGGGAAACCCAUCUCAAAUUUGUGUGCUGAUGAAAACCAUGGAAGAACUUCCAUUACAGAGAAACUCUAUGUAUGCAAGCAACGUGGAAAAGCCUUUAGUUCUUCCAGUUACCUGAAAACACAUGAAUAUGUUCACCCUGGAGUGAAGCCCUUUACAUGGAAGCAAUGUGGAAAAGACUUUAGUUUAUCCACCUGGAUGAACCUCAAAAAACGUGAAAGACUUCACACUGGAGCAAAAAAUUCUGCAUGUAAACAAUGUGGGAAAGCCUUCUUUUGGUCUUUUUAAGACAUCUAAAAACUCACAGUGGUGAGAAACCCUAUGUGAGCAGUGUGGAAAAGCUUUUAGUGUUCCAGUUACCUCAAACGACAUGUAUGAAUUCACACUUUACAGAAGACCUUUGCGUGUAAGCAGUGCGGAAAAACCUUUAAGUCAUCCAGUUAUCUCAGAAAACAUGAGAGAAUUCACAGUGGAGCAAGACGUUAUGCAUGUAAACAAUGUGGCAAAGCCUUCUAUUUGUCUAGUAAACUUCAAAUACAUCUAAAAACUCACAGUGGUGAGAAACCCUAUGUAUGUGAGCAGUGUGGAAAAGCAUUUACUUUUUCCAGUUACCUCAAAACACAUAAAAAAACUCACACUGGAGAGAAGCUGUUUGCAUGUAAGCAAUGUGGAAAAGCAUAUAGUAUGUACAGUUCCCUCAAAGCACAUGAAAGAGUUCACAGUGGAGCAAGACCUCAUAUAUGUCAGCAAUGUGAGAAAGCCUUCUGUUCAUCCAGAGACUUUAGAAUACAUGAACGAAGUCACUGUGGUGAGAAACCCUAUGUAUGUAUGCAAGGUGGAAAAGAUUUUACUUGUUCUAGUUACCUCAAAAAACAAGGGCAAAUUCACAGUGGAGAGAAGAACUUUGCGUGUAAGCAGUGUGGAAAAACCUUUAGGUCAUCCAAUUACCUCAAAAAACAUGAACGAAUUCACACAGCAACAAAAUGUCAUGCAUGUAAAACAAUGUGGAAAAGCCUUCUAUUGGUCCAGUAAACUUCGAAAUCAUGUAAAAACUCACAGUGGUGAAAAACCCUAUGUAUGUGAGCAGUGUGGAAAAGCUUCUAGUUUUUCCAGUUACCUCAAAAUACAUGAAAGAACUCACACUGGAGAGAAGCCCUUUGCAUGUAAGCAAUGUGGAAAAAGCUUUAGGUCAUCCAAUAACCUCAAAAACCAUGAAGGAAUUCACCCUGGAGUGAAAUCUUAUGCAUGUAAACAAUGUGGGAAAGCCUUCUAUUGGUCCAGUGGCCUUAGAUCACAUGAACAAAUUCAUUGUAAUAACAAAACCCAUAUAUACAGUAACAUGGAAAAGCUUUUACUAUUUCUAGUUACCUGAAGUUGCAUGAAGAAUUCACAUUGGAGAGAAGACCUUUUCAUGUAAACAAUCUGGGAAAGCAUCCUGUUGGUCCAAAACCCAUAGAAAACAUGAAAAAACUCACAGUGGUGAGAAACUAUAUAUGUAAGUAAUGUGUAAAAACUUUUAGUUCCUUCAGUGACUUCAGACACAUGAAGGAAUUCAAAAUGGAGAGAAGACUUGCAUGUAAGCAAUGUGGAAAAGCCGUUACUUCAUCCAGGUACUUCAAAACACAUGAAUGAAGUCACACUGCAGUGAAUCCUUAUGAAUGUAAACAAUAUAUGUAACCUUUUUUUUCUUCCAGUGACCUUUGAAGACAUAGAGAAACUCACCCUGGGGCAAAACCUGCAUAUGUUACCAGUGUGGGAAAGCCUACUUCUGUUGAGUGUCCUUAAAAGCCAUGAACCAAAGUCUUCAGUAAAAUCUACUUAAUGGUAAAAUAAGUGCUUCAGGGCCUUAAUGGGAGACUGGAAACGUUGAAACUACCACAGGAAAACAGCAAAUAUCCUUAAAAUUCUGGGCACUGGCAACAACUUUCUGAAUGGGACUCAAAAUAGCUCGGGUAAUAAGAGCAAGAAUUGACAAAUAGGAUUGCAUCUGAUUAAAAAGCUUCUUCCAAGGAAAGAAACAACCUAAGGAAUGGGACAAAGUUCUUUACAAGUAUUCAUCUAACAAGGAAUUAAUAUCAGAGUAUAUAUGGGAGUCAAAAAACAAAAGAGCAAAGGACAAAUAAUCCAAUUUAAAAAUGUACAAAUGAACUGAAAACAGUCCUCAAAUGAAGAGACAUAAAUUGCGAAUGAAGGCAUGAAGAAAUACUUAACAAACGUACCCCUAAAUUGCAAAUCAAAAGGACAUUGAGAUCCCAUCUCUCUCCAGUCAGAAUGGCAAUGAUCAAGAAAACAAAUGCUGGUGAGGAUGUGGGGAAUUGGAAUCCUUUCACACCGUGUGGUACUAUAAAUUAAUGCAGCUACUAUGGAAAUUAUGAUGUGAUUCUUCAAAAAAAAAAAAAAAA